AGAGUUUGAUUCUGGCUCAGAACGAACGCUGGCGGCGUGGAUAAGACAUGCAAGUCGAACGGGAGAAUUGCUAGCUUGCUAAUAAUUCUCUAGUGGCGCACGGGUGAGUAACACGUGAGUAACCUGCCCCCGAGAGCGGGAUAGCCCUGGGAAACUGGGAUUAAUACCGCAUAGUAUCGAAAGAUUAAAGCAGCAAUGCGCUUGGGGAUGGGCUCGCGGCCUAUUAGUUAGUUGGUGAGGUAACGGCUCACCAAGGCGAUGACGGGUAGCCGGUCUGAGAGGAUGUCCGGCCACACUGGAACUGAGACACGGUCCAGACACCUACGGGUGGCAGCAGUCGAGAAUCAUUCACAAUGGGGGAAACCCUGAUGGUGCGACGCCGCGUGGGGGAAUGAAGGUCUUCGGAUUGUAAACCCCUGUCAUGUGGGAGCAAAUUAAAAAGAUAGUACCACAAGAGGAAGAGACGGCUAACUCUGUGCCAGCAGCCGCGGUAAUACAGAGGUCUCAAGCGUUGUUCGGAAUCACUGGGCGUAAAGCGUGCGUAGGCUGUUUCGUAAGUCGUGUGUGAAAGGCGCGGGCUCAACCCGCGGACGGCACAUGAUACUGCGAGACUAGAGUAAUGGAGGGGGAACCGGAAUUCUCGGUGUAGCAGUGAAAUGCGUAGAUAUCGAGAGGAACACUCGUGGCGAAGGCGGGUUCCUGGACAUUAACUGACGCUGAGGCACGAAGGCCAGGGGAGCGAAAGGGAUUAGAUACCCCUGUAGUCCUGGCAGUAAACGGUGCACGCUUGGUGUGCGGGGAAUCGACCCCCUGCGUGCCGGAGCUAACGCGUUAAGCGUGCCGCCUGGGGAGUACGGUCGCAAGAUUAAAACUCAAAGAAAUUGACGGGGACCCGCACAAGCGGUGGAGUAUGUGGCUUAAUUCGAUGCAACGCGAAGAACCUUACCUGGGCUUGACAU
rnacentral:rRNA from 1 species